UGGGGAAUCUUGGACAAUGGGCGCAAGCCUGAUCCAGCCAUGCCGCGUGAGUGAAGAAGGCCCUAGGGUUGUAAAGCUCUUUCAACGGUGACGAUAAUGACGGUAGCCGUAGAAGAAGCCCCGGCUAACUUCGUGCCAGCAGCCGCGGUAAUACGAAGGGGGCUAGCGUUGUUCGGAAUUACUGGGCGUAAAGCGCGCGUAGGCGGACUAUUAAGCCAGAUGUGAAAUCCCGGGGCUCAACUCCGGAACUGCAUUUGGAACUGGUAGUCUAGAGGUCAGGAGAGGUUCGUGGAAUGCCGAGUGUAGAGGUGAAAUUCGUAGAUAUUCGGUGGAACACCAGUGGCGAAGGCGACGAACUGGACUGAUACUGACGCUGAGGCGCGAAAGUGUGGGGAGCAAACAGGAUUAGAUACCCCUGUAGUCC
rnacentral:rRNA from 1 species